AUACAGAGGGUGCGAGCGUUAAUCGGAAUUACUGGGCGUAAAGCGCGCGUAGGCGGCUUAUUAAGUCAGAUGUGAAAUCCCCGGGCUCAACCUGGGAACUGCAUCUGAUACUGGUAAGCUAGAGUUUGGGAGAGGGAAGUAGAAUUUCAGGUGUAGCGGUGAAAUGCAUCGAGAUCUGAAGGAAUACCAGUGGCGGAGGCGACUUCCUGGCCUAAAACUGACGCUGAGGUGCGAAAGCGUGGGUAGCAAACGGGAUUAGAAACCCUGGUAGUCC
rnacentral:rRNA from 1 species